GAUGAAGAACGUAGCGAAAUGCGAUAAGUAAUGUGAAUUGCAGAAUUCAGUGAAUCAUCGAAUCUUUGAACGCACAUUGCGCCCGCCAGUAUUCUGGCGGGCAUGCCUGUCCGAGCGUCAUUUCAACCCUCGAACCCCUCCGGGGGUCCGGCGUUGGGGAUCGGGAAACCCUAAGACGGGAUCCCGGCCCCGAAAUACAGUGGCGGUCUCGCCGCAGCCUCUCAUGCGCAGUAGUUUGCACAACUCGCACCGGGAGCGCGGCGCGUCCACGUCCGUAAAACACCCAACUUCUGAAAUGUUGACCUCGGAUCAGGUAGGAAUACCCGCUGAACUUAAGCAUAUCAAUAAGCGGAGGA
rnacentral:misc_RNA from 1 species